rnacentral:rRNA from 1 species
GACGAACGCUGGCGGCGCGCUUAACACAUGCAAGUCGAACGGAAAGGCCUGCUUUCCCUUGUGGAUUGCGGGUACUCGAGUGGCGAACGGGUGAGUAACACGUGAGUGAUCUGCCCCCAACUUGGGUAUAAGCCUGGGAAACUGGGUCUAAUUCCCGAUAGGACCGCAGGGUGGUGCCUGUGGUGGAAAACGAUUUUCUAGUGGUUGGGGAUGAGCUCGCGGCCUAUCAGCUUGUUGGUGGGGUAAUGGCCUACCAAGGCGGCGACGGGUAGCCGGCCUGAGAGGGUGGACGGCCACAUUGGGACUGAGAUACGGCCCAGACUCCUACGGGAGGCAGCAGUGGGGAAUAUUGCACAAUGGGCGGAAGCCUGAUGCAGCGACGCCGCGUGGGGGAUGACGGCCUUCGGGUUGUAAACUCCUUUCGACCGCGAGGAAGCCACCUGGUUGGAAGGGUGGUGACGGUAGUGGUAGAAGAAGCACCGGCUAACUACGUG